UUCUUUUCCCGAACGUGUUCAUCCUCAACUCUGUAGCACCCCGGAACUGAAUCAAACCAGAUCGAUCGGUUCGAUCGAUCCCGAGAGCCAUGAGAUAGACCCUCCUCGUAUGAAGGGCCACUGAUCCUUCCUCGACCAAUUUUUGGCCAAAUCUCAAACCUCCGUGCCCUAGAAUCCGCUGCCAGAUCUCGCCGGAGUUGUGCCGCCGCCGAAGCUAUUAGCUGGUUGAUUCCGUCACCUACAGAGAGCACCGGAUCGAGCACACAGAACCGAAGCUCCAGAGCUCCGCCGCCCGAGCUCCAUCUCCGGUCCAUCCUAUCAAGCCCAAGAUGCUCGAAUUCGAGCUCCCCAGCCAACCCGAUCUCGCCGGAGAGUCGUCGGAGAUGCGCCGCCGCCGCCGUCCUCUGCUUUUGGGUGAGCACGCGCGCACAGCAAAGUCGCGGCCAAUUGCCCUGCGCCAGGUCGCGUCUGCUACAGGAGAUACUACAGUGCAGGGGAUUUCUGUUGUCUUUUUUUUUUCAGAUUUCAACUAAAACUUCCUUUGGCUAUAUCUUUUAGUCUACAUAUCCAAAUUAGGUGAUUCUUUUUCCUAUACACUCAUAAUGACCAAAGAGAGCCUUGGCUCAGUGGUUGGGUAUGUGGUUGUGCAACCCAACAAGCCGAGUUCAAUUCCUAGAAUUGACAGGUGAUGCACAAGGGUUUUCCCCUGUUUAUUGAGGAUCAAGGUAGAUGUGUGGUGGAACCACUCAUCAAGAAAUAUCUUGAUACUCAUUUAGAAAA